AGAGUUUGAUCCUGGCUCAGGAUGAACGCUAGCGGCAGGCCUAAUACAUGCAAGUCGAACGGUAAGGCCCUGCUUGCAGGGUACACGAGUGGCGAACGGGUGCGUAACGCGUAUGCAACCUACCUUUAUCUGGAGAAUAGCCCUGAGAAAUUGGGAUUAAUGCUCCAUAACAUUAUGAGAAGGCAUCUUCUUAUAAUUAAAGCUCCGGCGGAUGAUGAUGAUGGGCAUGCGUGACAUUAGCUUGUUGGUGAGGUAACGGCUCACCAAGGCAAUGAUGUCUAGGGGUUCUGAGAGGAUUAUCCCCCACACUGGUACUGAGACACGGACCAGACUCCUACGGGAGGCAGCAGUAGGGAAUAUUGGGCAAUGGACGCAAGUCUGACCCAGCCAUGCCGCGUGCAGGAUGACAGCCUUAUGGGUUGUAAACUGCUUUUAUACGGGAAAAAACCCCCCGACUUGUCGGGGGCUGAUGGUACCGUAAGAAUAAGGAUCGGCUAACUCCGUGCCAGCAGCCGCGGUAAUACGGAGGAUCCAAGCGUUAUCCGGAUUUAUUGGGUUUAAAGGGUGCGUAGGCGGAAUGAUUAGUCAGUGGUGAAAUACUACAGCUUAACUGUAGAACUGCCAUUGAUACUGUCAUUCUUGAGUACAGUUGAAGUGGGUGGAAUGUGUCAUGUAGCGGUGAAAUGCAUAGAGAUGACACAGAACACCGAUAGCGAAGGCAACUCACUAAGCUGUAACUGACGCUGAGGCACGAAAGCGUGGGGAGCAAACAGGAUUAGAUACCCUGGUAGUCCACGCUGUAAACGAUGAUUACUCGAUGUUGGCGAUAUACUGUCAGCGUUCAAGCUAAAGCAUUAAGUAAUCCACCUGGGGAGUACGACCGCAAGGUUGAAACUCAAAGGAAUUGACGGGGGCCCGCACAAGCGGAGGAACAUGUGGUUUAAUUCGAUGAUACGCGAGGAACCUUACCUAGGCUUAAAUGUAGAAUGACCUCCCGAGAAAUCGGGACUCUCUUCGGGGCAAUUUACAAGGUGCUGCAUGGCUGUCGUCAGCUCGUGCUGUGAGGUGUCGGGUUAAGUCCCAUAACGAGCGCAGCCCCUAUUCUUAGUUGCCAUCAGAUAAUGCUGGGGACUCUAAGAAAACUGCCUACGCAAGUAGUGAGGAAGGUGGGGAUGACGUCAAGUCAGCACGGCCCUUAUGUCUAGGGCUACACACGUGUUACAAUGGUCAGUACAGAGGGCUGCUACCUGGUGACAGGAUGCUAAUCUCGAAAACUGAUCUCAGUUCGGAUCGAAGUCUGCAACUCGACUUCGUGAAGUUGGAUUCGCUAGUAAUCGCGUAUCAGCAAUGACGCGGUGAAUACGUUCCCGGGCCUUGUACAC
rnacentral:rRNA from 1 species